UACGUAGGGGGCAAGCGUUGUCCGGAAUCAUUGGGCGUAAAGCGCGUGUCGGCGGCUUGGUAAGUCCGUUCUGAAAGCCCGGGGCUCAACCCCGGGAGGCGGAUGGAUACUGCUGAGCUAGAGUCCGGAAGAGGCGAGUGGAAUUCCUGGUGUAGCGGUGAAAUGCGCAGAUAUCAGGAGGAACACCAAUUGCGAAGGCAGUUCGCUGGGACGUUACUGACGCUGAGACGCGAAAGCGUGGGGAGCAAACAGG
rnacentral:rRNA from 1 species